CCUACGGGAGGCAGCAGUGGGGAAUAUUGCACAAUGGGGGAAACCCUGAUGCAGCGACGCCGCGUGAGUGAAGAAGUAUUUCGGUACGUAAAGCUCUAUCAGCAGGGAAGAAGAUGACGGUACCUGACUAAGAAGCCCCGGCUAACUACGUGCCAGCAGCCGCGGUAAUACGUAGGGGGCAAGCGUUAUCCGGAUUUACUGGGUGUAAAGGGAGCGUAGACGGCAGCGCAAGUCUGGAGUGAAAUCCCAUGGCUUAACCAUGGAACUGCUUUGGAAACUGUGCAGCUAGAGUGCAGGAGAGGUAAGCGGAAUUCCUAGUGUAGCGGUGAAAUGCGUAGAUAUUAGGAGGAACACCAGUGGCGAAGGCGGCUUACUGGACUGUAACUGACGUUGAGGCUCGAAAGCGUGGGGAGCAAACAGGAUUAGAUACCCCAGUAGUC
rnacentral:rRNA from 1 species